AGCCCCUUCCCAAAGAAGUCGCCCUGACAAUUCUGGCCAAUAAAGGCCCAGUGAUGGAUAUUAUUAGGCUGCUGGACUGGCAGGACCAGCAGAACUUCUACGUCAUUGUCGUCCAGCGCUUCUCACACUGCAUGGAUGUUUUACGCUUUGUGCAACGCAAUGGAGGCAGCAUCGAUGAGAAGUUAGCGAAGCUCAUCAUGUUUGGGGCAACACUAGCCGCCAGUGCAUGUUGUAGACGUGGAGUUUACCAUGGGGACAUCAAGUUAGAGAACCUGCUGAUAAACUUGGAGAACCUCCAAAUCAAACUAAUUGACUUUGGAUGUGGCAGUGUCCUGACAGAAUCUGCCUACACAAGAUUCAGUGGUGUGUUUUAUCUCUAAAAACUCUUGUGAAUCAGUUAACUCAAUACUUAAUGGUAAGAAGACAUGCUGUGGUAAUGACUAAAACACCAGACAAACUCUUUUUCCUCCAGGAACAGUUAUGUACUGUCCUCCCGAGUAUAUACUGAAGGGGGAGUUCCAUGGAAAGCCAGCGACGGUCUGGUCUUUAGGGAUCCUCUUGUUCAGAAUGCUGUGUGGACACUUUCCAGAUAGUUAUGACUUCUACAGGACCAACUUGAACACCUGGUCCAAACCUGGCUUGACAGAAGAAUGCUGCUAUUUGAUCUGCUCCCUUCUGCAGCAAAAGCCAGAACGUCGGAUUGAUCUGGACAGGAUUGUUUACCAUGACUGGUUUUAGGUAGCAGUAAAAUUUGUCAAAAAGUCAAAACAAGUGGAAAGUAUCAGUAUUUCUAAAGAGCCCAAGGCCCUUCCCCAAAAUGUGGACCUAUCAAUCCAGUGAUGGACAUUAUUAAGAUGCUGGACUGGAAGGACCUUCAGGACGUCUACAGUUCGUCAGUCGUCCAGCGUUUAUCACACUGCACGGAUGCGUUCCACUUUGUGUAACACAAACAGAGGCAGCAUUGAGCAUCCUCUUGUUCAGAAUGCUGUGUGGAUAUAUUCUAGAUAGUUUCAGCAUCUACAGGACCAACAUGAACACCUGGUCCAAACCUGGCUUGACAGAAGCAGAGUUCUUCUCCACAACAAAAGCCAGAACGUCAGCUUGAUCUGACAGGAUUAUUCAUCAUGACUGGUUUUAGGUGCAAGACCGAUCACUGUCACUCUGAAAGUGUCAUCUGUGGAGAUGUUUCGUCUUCCAGGAAGAACUGAGUCUUGUGCCUUGGCUUGAGGCAGCAAUAUUAACGACUGGAGAUGUUGCUUGCUGAAGGAUGUGAAAAUUGAUGUACUUUUGUAAAUAAUAAUAAAAAAUUACUUCAUCUUAAAGGUGAAGAGAGAGCC